GGUAGAGCCUCAGCUCUGAUCAGCUGAAAAAUUGGACAUAACUCUGGCCAACAAACCUAAGAAUGGAAAGUCUCUUUAAUUAAAGAAGAUCCUUCAAAAGGUGAUGUACAGACUGAUGCAGUGCAAGAUGAUUCCAGAAACCUCAUCAGCCAGUGGACUUCAAGGGUACCCUAGAGACACCAAGUUCUUUCUCUACCUCUUACUUAAUGUCAAAAUCCUUACUGAACACUACCAUGGCCUCAGCUGAAUUCCUGUUUUUCUUGGACUCUUUGGAUGGAGGAGUUUUGACUU